rnacentral:misc_RNA from 1 species
GUAACUGCUCUAAAUCGUUCUUGACCAGCCGUAUCCCAUAUCUGCGCUUUAACCUCCUUCCCAUUUAUGUUUAUCUUUUGAGUCUGAAAUUCUACUCCAAUUGUCGAUUUUGAGUUUGGAUAGAAUUCAUCUCUAGCAAAUCUAGCAAGCAAAUUCGAUUUACCAACUGCAGAAUCACCAAUCAAUACAAUCUUGAAAAGGUAGUCCUCUUUUUUUUCUUCCUCGGAAUUGUGUGCCAUCUUCUUCACCACAUAAAAUGGGAAGCUAGAACAUCAUAACUACUUAUUUAUGCCGAAAUAAAGAAAAGUAAAGAAUGAACAGGUAUAGGCCCUUGGAAAAAACUUCAAAGGCAGGGGUCGGCUACAGAAGGAAACAGCAAAAGUAAAGAAGAAAGAAGUCUCAGAGGUAAAUGUUCUAUCAGGAGAUGAGGAGUGGUGGAAAAAUAUUCAAAGUGGACUUGCAAAGCACCAUGAACUAAAACUUCCCUCCAGUCACUGUAGUUACUUCUUCGAGUUCAGAUUCAGUCCUAAAAGGAAAGUGAUGACUUUCAAAUAUCUACACAAAAGCAAAGCAUCAGAAACUUAAAGUUCAGCAAAGAAUGAAGUGUCCCACCCUGUGCUAAGCUCCCACUCCCUUGCUUCUUGCCGUCAAGUAUUAAGCUCAAAACCCAAUUCUUUAUAAUGAUCAAAAUGCUAUAUUCCCUUAUCAAUCUAUCAAGUGGUGUGAUCAAAUCAAGAACCAGAUCAAUGAAUCAAACAGCUCUAAAAAUGGGGUAAUUUGAAAAUUUUGUUAGAAAAAAACAUAGGAAUCAAAUGAUUAUGUUUUUGGGUUUUGGAGAGAUUAAGGAAAAUUUCAAGAUUCAGGCAAGAUGGGAGAAGGAGAGAGAGAGAGACACCAGAUUUA